rnacentral:rRNA from 1 species
AGUGAACGCUGGCGGUAGGCCUAACACAUGCAAGUCGAACGGCAGCACAGUAAGAGCUUGCUCUUACGGUUGGCGAGUGGCGGACGGGUGAGGAAUACAUCGGAAUCUACUUUUUCGUGGGGGAUAACGUAGGGCAACUUACGCUAAUACCGCAUACGACCUACGGGUGAAAGCAGGGGAUCUUCGGACCUUGCUCGAUUGAAUGAGCCGAUGUCGGAUUAGCUAGUUGGCGGGGUAAAGGCCCACCAAGCCGACGAUCCGUAGCUGGUCUGAGAGGAUGAUGGGCAACACGGGAACGGAGACACGGUCCAGACUCCUACGGAAGGCAGCAGAGGGGAAUAUCGGACAAGGGGGGCAAGCCUAAUGCAGACAGACCGGGUGGGGAAAGAAGGCCUUCGAGUUGUAAAGCCCUUUUGUUGGGAAAGAAAAGCAGCAGGUUAAUGCCGCGCUGUUUGAACGUAACCAAUAGAAUAAGCACCGCCAAACUCCUG